AAAAUAGUUUAACAUCCAUAUCAGUCUUUUGGUUCUGUGCAGGUGCGGUCAAAGCCCAGUCUAGCCCAGCACUAGUGUCCCUCCCGAGUACGCCGUCCCUAAUCCCCGCAUAUUCCCCAGUUCAGCUCUCUCUCUCAAAACAGAGUAGCGCCACCGUGCGUCGCCAGCUCGAUCUGCUACAUCCGGCCGUCUCCGGCGCCACCGCUGGCAUCUACAGAAUCCCCUCGUUCUCCUCUACUUGAUCCCUACACUCGCCUCUAUCGCCGCCGCCGGGAACGACCUCGCCACCAAUUCUAAUGUCGUCGUUCUUGGGUCCAACGGGCUCACCGCUGUCCCCAACAACUGCGACAGCUUCACUCCUCCUUCGCUCUCCCUUGAUGCCGCUCGCUACAGCGAGUCGAGCGGCCCUGGUCGACAGCACACGCGGCUUCGCCGCACAGCUCUACGACCGGACUGGACACAGCCGAGCCUGCCGCGCUCACGCCAGCACCACGGCGAGCCUGAUGCCUGCCGAGUGCCGACUGCAGCGUGUGGCCAGCGUCGGCCUCCUACUGCUAAUCCUCCUCUACAACUAGAUAUGACAUAGGCAAGCAAAACUAUCCUACAAGUACAUGGUACAUUCAAGUUCAAGCAAACCGAGUGCCCAUUAUGGUGCCAAUACCUGAUGAAGCAGCAAUAGAGCAGCACAAGCGCAACAGUAAAAUGGGGCAGCAGAGAGUGGUCUAGCCGGCUGGAAGAGGUGGAGUGUGCGGUCGUAAUGGCAACCAGUGAAAAGGAGUGGCUAUAUAUAGUAGGGGAAAAGGCAAUGUCGGUAUCAGAGGAUGAGCCAGGUGGAGCUUUGGUGUGCAUGCCGGCUUACAUGUGUACCCCUCCCAGCUAUCAUUUUUACAAGUGUUUGAGGUUUUGGCUGGCCAUGAGUUGGCUCUUGCCCUACCCCUAAGAAAUCGUGUACAGGGACCAAAUUAAAAAUUCGAAAUUCUGCUAGGGCUCAAAUCAGAGCUGAUAUAAAAGGGACUUUGUAAUUUGCCAUUGUUGUGAGGGUUUGGGCGAUCGAUAUUCAUCUAAUCUAAGAUUAUUAUUUAUU